GCGUAAGCGAUGCCAAGCAGUAGUGCGGUUUUCAUUUGGAGUGAUGACGUUCUUGUUGCACAUGAAGUGAUAAAUACUUGGGAAUCCUACGGCUAUGAUACAAUUCCAAAAAACUUCCUUUGGGCUUUUAUGUCCUGAAAUUCACAGAAGCUCACAGGGACCCCUUUAUUCUAGCAGAAACAAAAAGAAGCAAACAAGAUAAAAACUUAUCUCUUGUAUGUGUCGUGAUAUGCCAUAAAAUCAUGUAAAAUAUGAA